rnacentral:SRP_RNA from 1 species
GCCGGGCAUGGUGGCUCACGCCUGUAAUCCCAGCACUUUGGGAGGCUGAGAUGGGUGGAUCACCUGAGGUCAGGAGUUCGAGACCAGCCUGGCCAACAUGGUGAAACCCCGUCUCUA